UACGUAGGGGGCAAGCGUUGUCCGGAAUUAUUGGGCGUAAAGGGUGCGUAGGCGGCGCGGUAAGUCGGGUGUGAAAUCUUGGAGCUUAACUCCGAAACUGCAUUCGAUACUGCCGUGCUUGAGGACUGGAGAGGAGACUGGAAUUUACGGUGUAGCGGUGAAAUGCGUAGAUAUCGUAAGGAAGACCAGUGGCGAAGGCGGGUCUCUGGACAGUUCCUGACGCUGAGGCACGAAGGCCAGGGGAGCAAACGGG
rnacentral:rRNA from 1 species